rnacentral:rRNA from 1 species
CUUGCUACCGGACCUAACGGCCGACGGAUGAAUAAUGCUUAUGAAUCUGCCUAUUAGUGGGGGACGACAUCCCCAAAGGGAUGCUAAUACCGCCAACGUCCUACCGGAAAAAACAAGGGAUCUUCCGACCUUGCCCUUAUAAAUGAACCUAAGUCCGAUUAACUAGUUGGUGGGGUAAAGGCCUACCCACGCCACCAACUGUACCGGGUCUGAAAGGAAGAACCACCCCCCUGGGACUGAAACACAGCCCAAACUCCUACCGGAAGCAGCCGUGGGGAAUAAUGGACAAUGGGGGGAACCCUGAUCCAGCCAUGCCCCGUGUGUGAAAAAAGCCUUAUGGUUGUAAAUCACUUUAAUUCAGGAAGAAGCUACUCCAGUUAAUAACUAAGGAUAGUGGACGUUACUCCCAAAAUAAGCACCGGCUAACUCUGUGCCAGCAGCCCCGGUAAUACAAAAGGUGCCAGCGUUAAUCCGAUUUACUGGGCGUAAAGCGUGCGUAAGCGGCUUAUUAAAUCCGAUGUGAAAUCCCCCAGCUUAACUUGGGAAUUGCAUUCCAUACUGGUGAGCU